GAUUUAUACAGAAGCGCAGAGAGACAGGCUCUAUGAAGCGCUAGCAACCCUGCCCACCGUGGGCAAAGGUGCUAAAUCCUGAUCCCGAAAACAGGGAGAAUAUAAAUC
rnacentral:ncRNA from 2 species